CUGUGCGUCCUCCAGACCUGCAUUCAAAUGUCACCUGCAUGGGGUCACCUGGCCUCGUCCACUGCGCACACCCUGCACGGCCCUGCCCUUGCUCCUGGUCCUUCCGGGGCUGAACACCCCGAGUGUUUCUCUCUCCCCGGCAGUAUGCGUCUCUCCCUCCAGAACAUUAGGUAUUUAAGGACAAGGACUUUUGUCUGCUUUUUCCCCACACUGCCCCAGAAUCAAGAACAGAGCUUGGAACAUAGGAUGCAGCCAGUAAAGACUGGUUGUUGAAUGAAUAAAUGGAUGGAUGGAUGGAUGGAUGAGUGGGUGGGUGGCAUUCUUACUCCUUGCUACCCAAUCUCCUAGGGUUUCACGGUUCAAGUCCCCACGCACACAAGGCCCCUCUGCCUGGCACUCAGUGAGGCCAGUGAAGGGAGGUGAGCUCGAACACCCUCAGGAGGAAGAAAGUAACAGAAUUAGAGAAGAGGGAGGGGUGGGGGUGACAGGGCGUGGACGCAUCUGGGAACUGCUAAUCAGAAGGGGCCAAGGCCGCCAGCGCAGGGCACGGGGCCACACGCGUUCAGACCUCCGAGAGCUCCGAAGCUGGGAGUCGGGUCUUCCACAGGAGGAAGUCUCCCUAGUUUUGAGUGUUUGCAGCCAACUGGGGUUUCGGAUCAGUUCCCAAGGCCCACCAUGGCACGGCCGGGCUGCCCAGUGAGGGCCUCACCUCUCUGAGCCUCAGUUUCCUCACCCCGGAGGAGGUGGCAGCCGCCUUACGACUGGAUGAAGUGCGUCCUGGGGUUGCUGCCCAGAUAUAGACGCAUGGAGAGACACUGGUGCUGAGGAGAGGGAUGGAGCUGGGGAGGAAGAGGGCAGCAUCUUGGGGACACAGAGGGACCUGGCACGGAGGCGAGAACACAGAUGGAGACGGAGGAGGUGGAGGUCAAGACAGAGGCUGCGGCGGCGUGCGGGGCGCCCGAGGCAGAAGCAGCAGGGAGGGCGCAGGAGGGGGAGGCCAGCAGAGCCGCCUGAAGGGGAAAACUGCCCAUCUUUUUCCAAAAGUCUCCCGCUCCUGGUCCCGGCUGCCUCUGCAACUUAGAGAACUCCUUCCUCCCGGCCGCCACGGAAGCCCCAGCUGCUCCCGCCCGGUCCUCUCAUCAGCCGCUUCCUCGGACCCCGACUGGCCCCGUCCACAAACGUCCUCCUCCUGGCCUGGACUGCACUGCGCUCGGGAAAUACAGCCCCCUCUGCCCCGCAGGCCCCGGCCUCCCUGAGGACUACCCUCGGUGCCCUCACGGUCCCUCUCGCCUGCUUCGGAGGGUCCCCCGCCCCGGAUCUCCCCAACCUGCGCGGACCCAACUCUCCUUCAGGGGACCAGAAGCCGCGAGCCCGCUCCUGCCACCCGCCAAGGCGUAAAGCGAUCCCCCAGUCCACGCAGCGCUCAGGAAAACGCGAUCUCCAAGACUUCAACUCUCUGACUCUGCACUCCCCCCACACCUCCGCUUCACCCCGUCGCUCUCCCGGCCGGGCGUCCCUUACCUGUGUCCCCCACUUUCCCGGACUUCUUUCCAAACCCCCGGCGGCGGCGAAGAGACCGGAACCCUUAGAGCAGCGGCGACACCUCCGAGAGCCCCGGUCCCGCCGCGGGGUGACCUUGGCCUCCCACGUCCCUGCGUCCUCCGCCCCCCGUCAGCUGGCCCCAGGCUGGGCUGCUCCAGGUCGGCUGGGGGGCGUCUCCAUGGCGACGGCCUGGCGCCCCCUUCGCGCCUGCCCACACGCAGUCCCUUCCUGGCUGCUCGCUCCUGGCCAGGGCGCCCGGACCUGCGUCCCGCGGCCUGGGACGGCCCCUUCCCCUCUCUCCGGCCGGCGGACUUUCCUGCCUCUGCCUCCCCGGGGGUGAGCUGGGGACCCCGGCGUGGGCGUCCUCCCCCUUCCGCGGCGGGGGCUGCUCCUCGCAGACUCGGGGAGCUCCGCGCUGGGCAGUUGGGGGCACUCUGCCCGGCUUCGGGGACUCCUCCCCGAGCCCUGGGCCCACGGCUGCGCGGGGGGAAGCACGGGCCCCACUUCCAGAGCCUCCCAGAAGCGGAGGGGUCGGCACCCUCUCCCGAGCGGCCAGGCCCGUCUCCAGGGUCGGGGGGCCGCAGAGCCCCAAUUCCACAUCCGCCCACCUCCGAUUACUGGAAGCUCCCUCACCUCUGGCGGCGACGGGUCAACUCUCCGACGGGCUGCGGAGGGACGUCCAGCCUCCCUGCCGGCGCCCCCGAGAAGCCCCAGGGCUCCCGGUUCUCGCCGCUGCCCCUCCCCCAGCAGUGAGGGACCCAGGCGUCCGACCUGCCUGGGGGUGGAGUGAGGCCCCCGCCAGCGCGGGCCUGGGGCUGGGCUUGCGGCUGGAGGAACGUGCGUGUGAAAAGCUGAGUGCAGACAGCUCACGGUCCGAUGGGCGGCAGUUUUGAGAAGAAAGGCUUCGUCCCCUGCAGAACCGGCCAGCGAGUCCCGGGCGGCCGGAGCCGGGGACUCUGGCGGCGGGCCAAAGUUUGGGCUCGGUCGGAACCUCGGGGUUGUCCCUGAGCCACUGUGUGACCUUGGCCCAAACACUUCUGUCUCCGAACUGUGUGUCGGGAAUCAGGGGCCACACACUGCUGGGAGCAGCCUCGCCGCGCGGUUGGGAGGGCGCGGGCAGUCGCUGGACUUCAGAGGCCCGGGCCCGGUUCCCGGCCUUCCGCCCUGCGAGCCUGAGCGGGACCCUGGCUGCCGACCUGCCCCUCUGCACCCUCUGCCGUGCGUCCAUCCGUCCACCUACCCCAGGGCUGCUCUCGGCCACUUUCAGGACUGCCAGGUGUCAGCUCCGUGCCGUUCACCCCUACCCUGCCCCACGGGAGCUGGGAGAAGCCUUCCCACCACUCCAGACUCCGGAGAGACCUCCAGGGAUGAAAUGAGCCAGGCUUCUCACUGUGGCGCUGCAGGCCCGGCCCGGGCAUCCUCUGGCCUUUGUGACUGCCCUGUCUCACACCUGGUCUCUCCAGUGUCACCCCCAGAAAUGUCUCCAGAGGGUGUCGAUGUCCCAGGUUAAGAGCCAUUUAAGGAAUCGGACUCAGGACUUUUCGCUUUUGAGGCAGGAAGCGGAACCACUGAGCUAAAUCCCCAGCCUAUAUCACUCAUCUAUUGAUGGGCAUCUGGCUGGCUUCCACAUUUCAUCUAUUAUGAAUGAUGCUGCUGUGAACAUCUGAGUUUUGCAGAGAUGUUUGUUUUGCUAUCUCCUGGAUGACUAAAGUCACGUGUUAGCCCCUGUGAACACCCUGCAGCAUGGGGAAGGGACUUUCAGAAGGGGCGGUCUCUCUGGACCUCGUCCUACACUGGCUCUUGAACUCACCUUACCCUGCCAAGGCUUCCAAGGUAGCUAAGUCCCUGCCCCCCAGGAAGCCCUCCACCCUCACUGCCACCUGCGGGAGGCAGGAUUUUAAAAUGACCCCCAAGGCCAGGUGUGGUGGUGCACACCUGUAAUCCCAGCACUGGGGAGGUUGAGGCAGGAAGAUCACUGUGAGUGUGAGGCCAACCUGGGCCACAGUGAAUUCAAGAUCAGUGAAUUAUAUCAGUGGACUAUACAGUGAGACCCUAUCUCAAAACACUAAAACUAGGACCAGAGAUGUAGCUCAGUGGAACUGCGCCUGCCUGGCAAGCACAAGGUCCUGAGUUCGAUCCCUGGUACCAAAAAAAU
rnacentral:lncRNA from 1 species